CCCCCCCCCCCCCCCCCCCCCCCCCCCCCCCCCCCCCGGUUUUGUGGGGGUUUGUGUGGGAUUUCGGGUAUGUUGUGUGGGAUUUUUUGGUGGGAUUUUGUCUAAAUGUCAUUUGUGGGGGCUCGUGUGGGUUCAGAUGGAUUUCCCUGCUCUGAGCACCUGUGCCAGCUGCAAGUUUGAAGGAAGAGGCAGGAAAAAAUGAAGGAAGAGGCAGGAAAAAAAAAAAAAUUUCACCUCUCCCAACCCCACAGGCUCUUUGAUGCCCAAACCCAGAGCAUGAAAAAUCCCCUGUCGGCAGAUCAUGGACUCCAAAAAUCACAGACCCACGGAAUUACUGAGGCUGGAAAAGCUCUUUACGACCACCCAGCCCAAUCUGUGCCCAGUCCCCACCCAGAGCUCUCAGGGACGUGAAUCCAAAUUUCCAAUUUGUGCAUUUCCAAUCCACCAGGAAAUUCCUGCCGGUGUCCAACCUGAGGCUGUUCCCUCUCCUCCUGGGCGGGUUUAAAGCACAAAGCUGAGCUCUGCUGAGGACCCAGGAGCUUGGAUCCAUCUGGAAUCAUCUCCUCACGAGCUGGGGGGAGCCUUUGAAUGGCUGCUGCUGCUGCUGCAGUGAUAAAUUAGAUCACUUUGAGAGCACUUUAGAGCUGGACGGAAAAAUUCAGUUGCUCUGCUGCCAAUUCCAUCCUAGCUGGCCUGGCUCUGGUGCAGAUGGUCAGUGCUGGGGGAGUGUGGAGGAACAGAGCUGAAGGUGGAGAGUGGGAGAAGCUCUUUUUGUGUUGGCAAAGAUUCCUGCUUGGUUUUCCAGGAAUUUCCUGAUGGAAUUGCAGGCUCAGGGCUGGAAAAGACCUCGAAGAUAUCCUGGGACGAAAAGGAGCUGCAGGGAGUUUUGUGCCUCUGUUUCCUGCUUUGUGCUGCUUUCCUGGAAUGCCUCAGGACAAGACCUCUAAUGAAGAUAAAUGGGUUUGGGCAGCCCCAAAAGGAGCAGGAUCCUGACCAGUGGCAUCGCUGGAGGAUUUCCAGGCAGGAGCAGCCCCAGGCCAGGUGUGCAGUGAGCUGGAAUCUGCUCCCUGCAGAUUUUUUGAAGGAUCCUGCGUGUGAGGCACCUGCUUUAACUCCAGGCAGCGUUAAGAAGCACCAAUCCAUUUGAUAAUUAAAUGUUUGCUGCCACCUAAUUGUCCCUUUCUCUCAGAGUCUCCUGGCACUCUCCCCGGAGCGCUGAGCUUCAAAGGGAGCUGGAGAAGAGUUUCUUUUCUUAAAGCACGGGGUAGAUUGAAGAUGGAGCCAUCUCCAAAACUGUCAGGAACCAGAUAAGAAAACCGGGAGAACAGCAAACCCAGCGGGCUAAUUAUAAACAGGCAAAUAUAGCAGAAAAGCAGAUUGCAGCAGGCUGGUGAAGUGACAACAGCAAUGACACUGCCAGGGCUGGCGCUUACCUGGGAGCCCCAGGGCGCUGCUGAGCCUGGGCUCGGCUCUGAGCUCUGCAAAUCUGCCCUGCUCUGCAGCCAGGGAUCAGCUGAGCUCCUCAGCUUGGCUCCAGCCUAAACCAGGGAAUGGGUUUCCAGCCACCCGUGUGCCUGGAGCUGCCUUUCCCUCGGAUUUACGGGGCGUUUCCCUGCUGUGAGAAAUCCCUGAAGAGCUCCCAGCAGGAAUUCCAGGGGACGUGGAUGGGUUUGUGCCUCCCCCUGCCCGUUCUGGGCACAAUCCCCCAGCUCCUGGAGAUGGGAGUGGGGUGUGCUGGGCUAUAAAUACAAACCCAGGAGCUGGAGAUGGCUCUGGAAGCACGAGCCAGGGGGGUGGCAGUGUGCAGGCAGCUCUAUUUUCAGCUGCUCCCACCCAGGAAAGGUUCUGUAGUACUUUCAGUUGAACUUUUUGGGGGGUUUUCUGUUUUCUCUUUUUAGGUUUUUUUUUUU
ensembl:lncRNA